ensembl:snoRNA
UGGACCAAUGAUGACCACUGGUGGCGUAUGAGUCACGGACGAUGAGUGAUACGUGUCUGGACGUCUGAGGUCAUG